UACGGAGGAUGCAAGCGUUAUCCGGAAUGAUUGGGCGUAAAGCGUCCGCAGGUGGCUGUGUAAGUCUGCUGUCAAAGAGCAAAGCUCAACUUUGUAAAGGCAGUGGAAACUACACGGCUAGAGUGCGUUCGGGGCAGAGGGAAUUCCUGGUGUAGCGGUGAAAUGCGUAGAUAUCGGGAGGAACACCAGUGGCGGAGGCGACUACCUGGCCUGUUCUUGACGCUGAGGCGCGAAAGCUAGGGGAGCAAACGGG
rnacentral:rRNA from 1 species